rnacentral:misc_RNA from 1 species
GAAAUGCGAUAAGUAAUGUGAAUUGCAGAAUUCAGUGAAUCAUCGAAUCUUUGAACGCACCUUGCGCUCCUUGGUAUUCCUUGGAGCAUGCCUGUUUGAGUAUCAUGAAAUCUUCAAAGUAAAUCUUUUGUUAACUCAAUUGGUUUCUACUUUGGUAUUGGAGGUCUUUGCAGCUUCACACCUGCUCCUCUUUGUUCAUUAGCUGGAUCUCAGUGUUAUGCUUGGUUCCACUCGGCGUGAUAAGUUAUCUAUCGCUGAGGACACAGUAAAAGGUGGCCAAGGUAAAUGCAGAUGGACCGCUUCUAAUAGUCCAUUGACUUGGACAAUACCUUUAUGAUCUGAUCUCAAAUCAGGUAGGACUACCCGCUGAACUUAAGC